rnacentral:tRNA from 1 species
GGAGCUGUGGGAGAGUGGCUUAAUCCAGGACAUUGCUAAUGUCCCGUGCGAGUAAAAUUGCACCGAGGGUUCGAAUCCCUCCGGCUCCGCCA